GGGGAAUUCAAAAAAGAUGGCAAUAAAUAAAUGUCUUAACAGAUUAAAUUAUAAAAAUUAGUAUUCUUUUUUUUUUUAUUUAAACAUCCAAUAAUAUUUCGUAAAGAUAUUUCAUUUUGAAACACAAUAAAACGACAAACAGUUACUCCUCAAUAUUAUAUCCUGUAUGGUACCUCUUUUCAAACACGAUUAUCUCUCUUUGUUCAUGAAACACUUUAAAGUGUCGAUUUAAGCACAUGCAUCGUCAUUAAAAGAAACUUGGAAUAUUGUCAAGACACACAAUCACUUUCUUUAUUAUUUCAUUAGAAAAUUUUAUAUCAAAACACAUUAAAUCAACUAACAACUACGUAUUUAUGAUAAAUACACAAUUAAUAUCCUGUAUGGACACAGUUAUCUUUCUUUGUUUAUGAAAUGAACACUAACACAUGGUUAUCAACUUCCUGUAAACCAACAAUGAUUGAAUGAAAUAAAAAACAAACGAUAAAGUAAAUAUAUUUAUUUAUUCAUAACAAAAUAUGCCACAUUAACAAUUUAUCAAGUCACUGCAAGCACUUGACAAUCUGACUGUCUCCAGAAAACAAAUCCAGAUAUUUUUUUUUCACGGUCGUCCUGAAAACAGAAAAUAAUACAUACAUAACACGCACCCGAGUAUAACACGCAGGGACAAAGACAGAGAAAAAAACCUGCAGCUUAUUUAACGAUUUUUACGGUA
rnacentral:lncRNA from 1 species